UACGUAGGUGGCAAGCGUUGUCCGGAUUUACUGGGCGUAAAGAGCGCGCAGGCGGUCGUACAAGUCGCGUGUGAAAGACCCCGGCUCAACUGGGGAGGGUCGUGCGAUACGGGCGAACUGGAGGCCAGUAGGGGGAUGCGGAAUUCCGGGUGUAGUGGUGGAAUGCGUAGAGAUCCGGAGGAACACCAGCGGCGAAGGCGGCAUCCUGGACUGGUCCUGACACUCAUGAGCGAAAGCGUGGGGAGCGAUCCGG
rnacentral:rRNA from 1 species